rnacentral:rRNA from 1 species
UUGGUGGCGACCGGCGCACGGGUGAGUAACGCGUAUGCAACCCACUUAUCAGAGGGGAAUAACCCGGCGAAAGUCGGACUAAUACCGCAUAAAACAGGGGCACCGCAUGGUGAUAUUUGUUAAAGAAAUUCGCUGAUAGAUGGGCAUGCGUUCCAUUAGGUAGUUGGUGAGGUAACGGCUCACCAAGCCGACGAUGGAUAGGGGAACUGAGAGGUUGGUCCCCCACACUGGUACUGAGACACGGACCAGACUCCUACGGGAGGCAGCAGUGAGGAAUAUUGGUCAAUGGGCGAGAGCCUGAACCAGCCAAGUCGCGUGAAGGAAGAAGGAUUUAUGGUUCGUAAACUUCUUUUGCAGGGGAAUAAAGUGCAGGACGUGUCCUGUUUUGUAUGUACCCUGAGAAUAAGGAUCGGCUAACUCCGUGCCAGCAGCCGCGGUAAUACGGAGGAUCCGAGCGUUACCCGGAUUUAUUGGGUUUAAAGGGUGCGUAGGUGGUUUGAUAAGUCAGCGGUGAAAGUUUGCAGCUUAACUGUAAAAAUGCCGUUGAAACUGUCGGACUUGAGUGUAAAUGAGGUAGGCGGAAUGCGUGGUGUAGCGGUGAAAUGCUUAGAUAUCACGAAGAACUCCGAUUG